rnacentral:rRNA from 1 species
GUAGGGAAUAUUGGUCAAUGGAUGGAAGUCUGAACCAGCCAUGCCGCGUGCAGGAAGAAGGCCUUCUGGGUUGUAAACUGCUUUUGUCAGGGGAUAAAAAUUCCAUGCGUGGAAGAUUGAAGGUACCUGGCGAAUAAGCCACGGCUAACUACGUGCCAGCAGCCGCGGUAAUACGUAGGUGGCAAGCGUUGUCCGGAUUUAUUGGGUUUAAAGGGUGCGUAGGCGGCUUUGUAAGUCAGUGGUGAAAUAUGGCAGCUCAACUGUCAGUGUGCCAUUGAUACUGCAGAGCUUGAGUACAGAUGAGGUAGGCGGAAUUGACGGUGUAGCGGUGAAAUGCUUAGAUAUCGUCAAGAACACCUAUAGCGAAGGCAGCUUACUAGGCUGUAACUGACGCUGAGGCACGAAAGUGUGGGGAUCAAACAGGAUUAGAUACCCGGGUAGUCCC